AUGGCUAGCACUAUGAUGAC
rnacentral:siRNA from 1 species